UGUUUGCACUUAGCGGGAAGGGUAAGAACCUUCGACUAAGGUUCGACUCGAGCGCCAGCGACGAGUUAUCCUUCCCCCACCAUUC
rnacentral:sRNA from 1 species